rnacentral:rRNA from 1 species
UACGGGGGGGGGCAAGCGUUGUUCGGAAUUACUGGGCGUAAAGGGUUCGUAGGUGCCAACUAAGUCAUACGUGAAAUCCCUCAGCUUAACUGGGGAACUGCGUCUGAUACUGGUUGGCUUGAGUGCAGGAGAGGAACGCGGAAUUCCAGGUGUAGCGGUGAAAUGCGUAGAUAUCUGGAGGAACACCGGUGGCGAAGGCGGCGUUCUGGACUGCAACUGACACUGAGGAACGAAAGCCAGGGGAGCAAACGGG